GGCAGAUCACCUGAGGUCAGGAGUUUGAGACCAGCCUGACCAAUAUGGUGAAAUCCUGUCUCUACUAAAAAUGCAAAAAAAAUUAGACGGGCAUGGUGGCUACUGUUAUCCCAGCUACAUGGGAGGCUGAGGCAGGAGAAUCGCUUGAACCCGGGAGGUGGAGAUUGCAGUGAGCUGAGAUUGCACCACUGCACUCCAGCCUGAGUGACAGAGUGAGACCCCGUCUUAAAAAACAAAACAAGGCCAGGCACGGUGGCUCAUGCCUGUAAUCCCAGCACUCUGGGAGGCUGAGGCAGGUGGAUCACAAGGUCAGGAGAUCGAGACCACCCUGGCUAACAUGGUGAAACCCUGUCUCUACUAAAAAUACAAAGAAUUAUCCGAGCAUGGUGGUGGACGCCUGUGGUCCCAGCUACUCCGGAGGCUGAGGUGGGAGAAUGGCGUGAACCCAGGAGGUGGAGCUUGCAGUGAGCCGAGAUUGCGCCAC
rnacentral:lncRNA from 10 species